GGGUUGUGAGGUUAAGCGACUAAGCGUACACGGUGGAUGCCCUGGCAGUCAGAGGCGAUGAAGGACGUGCUAAUCUGCGAUAAGCGUCGGUAAGGUGAUAUGAACCAUUAUAACCGGCGAUUUCCGAAUGGGGAAACCCAGUGUGAUUCGUCACACUAUCAUUAACUGAAUCCAUAGGUUAAUGAGGCGAACCGGGGGAACUGAAACAUCUAAGUACCCCGAGGAAAAGAAAUCAACCGAGAUUCCCCCAGUAGCGGCGAGCGAACGGGGAGCAGCCCAGAGCCUGAAUCAGUGUGUGUGUUAGUGGAAGCGUCUGGAAAGGCGUGCGAUACAGGGUGACAGCCCCGUACACAAAAAUGCACAUAUUGUGAGCUCGAUGAGUAGGGCGGGACACGUGGUAUCCUGUCUGAAUAUGGGGGGACCAUCCUCCAAGGCUAAAUACUCCUGACUGACCGAUAGUGAACCAGUACCGUGAGGGAAAGGCGAAAAGAACCCCGGCGAGGGGAGUGAAAAAGAACCUGAAACCGUGUACGUACAAGCAGUGGGAGCACGCUUAGGCGUGUGACUGCGUACCUUUUGUAUAAUGGGUCAGCGACUUAUAUUCUGUAGCAAGGUUAACCGAAUAGGGGAGCCGAAGGGAAACCGAGUCUUAACUGGGCGUUAAGUUGCAGGGUAUAGACCCGAAACCCGGUGAUCUAGCCAUGGGCAGGUUGAAGGUUGGGUAACACUAACUGGAGGACCGAACCGACUAAUGUUGAAAAAUUAGCGGAUGACUUGUGGCUGGGGGUGAAAGGCCAAUCAAACCGGGAGAUAGCUGGUUCUCCCCGAAAGCUAUUUAGGUAGCGCCUCGUGAAUUCAUCUCCGGGGGUAGAGCACUGUUUCGGCAAGGGGGUCAUCCCGACUUACCAACCCGAUGCAAACUGCGAAUACCGGAGAAUGUUAUCACGGGAGACACACGGCGGGUGCUAACGUCCGUCGUGAAGAGGGAAACAACCCAGACCGCCAGCUAAGGUCCCAAAGUCAUGGUUAAGUGGGAAACGAUGUGGGAAGGCCCAGACAGCCAGGAUGUUGGCUUAGAAGCAGCCAUCAUUUAAAGAAAGCGUAAUAGCUCACUGGUCGAGUCGGCCUGCGCGGAAGAUGUAAC
rnacentral:rRNA from 1 species